GUGACAUUCUUGUUGGUAAUGAAGGGCGCCGUGUCCUCCGGGCUAAAGAGGAGGGAGACCUUCCAGCGUGUUAUCAGCGUUCAGUUCAAAAGCCAGCAUCUCUGAUGGUAUGGGGGUGCAUAAGUGCAUACGGUAUGGGCAACUUGCAUGUUUUGGAAGGAACUAUGAAUGCUGAAAGGUAUAUAAAGGUUUUAGAGCAACACGUGUUCCCCUCCAGAGGACGUCUGUUUCAGGGAAGGCCUUGUGUAUUUCAGCAGGACAAUGUAAAACUACAUACUGCAGAUAUUACAACCACAUGGCUUCGUCGGAGAAGAGUCCGGGUGCUGAAUUGGCCUGUCUGCAGUCCAGAUCUUUCACCUAUAGAGAACAUACAGUAAUUACCUGUGACACCCAUGGUGCACUGUGAGCAGGUAUACAGGCCCACAGAGCAUGCAGAUAAUUAUCUGUGACACCCAUGGUGCACUGUGAGCAGGUAUACAGGCCCACAGAGCAUGCAGAUAAUUAUCUGUGACACCCAUGGUGCACUGUGAGCAGGUAUACAGGCCCACAGAGCAUGCAGAUAAUUAUCUGUGACACCCAUGGUGCACUGUGAGCAGGUAUACAGGCCCACAGAGCAUGCAGAUAAUUACCUGUGACACCCAUGGUGCACUGUGAGCAGGUAUACAGGCCAACAGAGCAUGCAGAUAAUUAUCUGUGACACCCAUGGUGCACUGUGAGCAGGUAUACAGGCCCACAGAGUAUGCAGAUAAUUAUCUGUGACACCCAUGGUGCACUGUGAACAGGUAUACAGGCCCACAGAGCAUGCAGAUAAUUAUCUGUGACACCCAUGGUGCACUGUGAACAGGUAUACAGGCCAACAGAGCAUGCAGAUAAUUAUCUGUGACACCCAUGGUGCACUGUGAGCAGGUAUACAGUCCCACAGAGCAUGCAGAUAAUUAUCUGUGACACCCCUUGUACACUGUGAGCAGGUAUCAGUACUGACUACUUUUUAUAUUGAGUCACAUGUUUUAUGUGAAUUACUUUGUACUGAACUGAAGGCCAGUAUUUGUCACUGUGAAUAUGUUGUUGCAGACGUCCAUCCAGAAAUCAGAGCUGGGGGAAAAGAUAAGGUCUUAUUCCAGUUAAUUUUUGGUACAAAUAUCAAAGUGUCUGUCGUAGAUGGAGGAUUAUAUAUUCUAGAGGUUUCUUUUUAUUUUUAAGUUGCAGAAUGUUGUCUCAUCUGAGGAGGAUUCAGUGUGUUAUGUGUGAGGUUCAUUUUGGUUUUGAUGCUGGAUUCAGUUAGUAAAUAUUAGAAAAAUUGCAUAUUCUCAACUCGUAUUUAUGGAUUAAGUCUUCGAAUGUCAUGAAAUGACUGUUACUGAAAUGGAGGUGGAGAUGUGUAAUCCCUUUCUGUCCCCGUGAGUGAUAGUGAAUAGAUAUUGUGAAGUAGGAAGUCCAGAUUAUUCCAGAUUGGCGUGUAUUUACAGGGUCUGAGAGUACAGUUAGUGAUUUUAAUGGCUUUCCACUGGGCUGUCAGUGCUGUGGAAAUGGCAGCACUGUGUUGUUAAAGCAGUUUUGUUUCUUUAAUGACAUUUUGAGUAAGUCUGCAUGUCUGAGAUUUUUACAGUACAGCUGCUCCUGCUAUAACCAUGAGCUGCUGUUACUGCUGUAGUGUGACCAUUUAGUUAAGUCUUGCAGUUUAUUUGCUAAGUAAUAAUUAAGAAAAAUGAGCUUGUAAUCCACCUUGAGAUUUACUUUUCUGUAAUGUGGAAUGUUUGAUUUUGUGUUUUUGUGU